CUCCCAUCAUGGGCAGUGGAAACUGUUGGGCUUGAGUGUGGUAGGGGCAGAGGGAAUUCCCGGUGUAGCGGUGAAAUGCGUAGAUAUCGGGAAGAACACCAGUGGCGAAGGCGCUCUGCUGGGCCCAUCACUGACGCUCAUGGACGAAAGCCAGGGGAGCGAAAGGGAUUAGAUACCCCUGUAGUCCUGGCCGUAAACGAUGAACACUAGGUGUCGGGGGAAUCGACCCCUCCGGUGUCGUAGCCAACGCGUUAAGUGUUCCGCCUGGGGAGUACGCACGCAAGUGUGAAACUCAAAGGAAUUGACGGGGGCCCGCACAAGCGGUGGAGUAUGUGGUUUAAUUCGAUGCAACGCGAAGAACCUUACCAGGGUUUGACAUCCUGCGAAUCUCUUGGAAACUUGAGAGUGCCUUCGGGAGCGCAGUGACAGGUGGUGCAUGGCUGUCGUCAGCUCGUGUCGUGAGAUGUUGGGUUAAGUCCCGCAACGAGCGCAACCCACGUCUUUAGUUGCCAGCAUUUAGUUGGGCACUCUAGAGAGACCGCCGGUGAUAAACCGGAGGAAGGUGUGGAUGACGUCAAGUCAUCAUGCCCCUUACAUCCUGGGCUACACACGUACUACAAUGCUACGGACAAAGGGCAGCAAGUUCGCGAGGACAAGCAAAUCCCAUAAACCGUGGCUCAGUUCAGAUCGUAGGCUGCAACUCGCCUACGUGAAGGAGGAAUCGCUAGUAAUCGCAGGUCAGCAUACUGCGGUGAAUACGUUCCCGGCCCUUGCACACACCGCCCGAAGGGCGAAUUCG
rnacentral:rRNA from 1 species